UUGGAGAAAAACAGCAUGUUUUGCAGUGUGGAGCUUGAAGCAGUUUAGUGUUUGGAGAGUGUUGAAGUUGAGGUUCGAGAGGAAGACGGGAGGUCAUCUGAGAAGCCUCCCGAGAGGGGUGGCCUCUAUGGCCUUGUGGAGAAGAGAUGGAGGGGGCUUGAGCCUGAAGAAGAGAGGACUUUAGAGGUCGCUGGAGUGGCUUCAGUGAAAGUAUGCUUUUACAGCAGAGAUUGAUAGGCUGAUCUGAAAAGCCAUUGAAAUGCAAGCGACUUGGAAUAGCCAAACUAAUCUUGAAAAAGAAGAACAAAUUUGGAGGACUCAUAGGCCAGAAAUAACCUUUACUUUUAUGCUUUCCACAAGAAGAUAAAAAAGUGUACUGGGAAAGGUAACUCCCAUUGGACUGUUUCAUGAAAGCUCAUGAAAGGACCUGUUAAAUCUUUCAGAGAAUAUAUCUUCUUGAACAUUUUCUACAGAAGAAUAGCUGAGAGGAUGAGAGAAGAAAGAAACAAUGAAGUUGGGUGGGAGGUGAGGUUGUCUAGACCCCUGAAAAGAAGCAUCAGUCAAAAUGCCUUUGUUUCAUUACCAGGGACUCACUACCAACUUCCAAACCAGCUGCAAUAACCCAGUUUCUAGUUCUGCUUACACCAGAAAUAAAGGCUGGGUGCCAGAAGCUGCAAGCUCCAAGAAAGCUUUCCCGAUUCAGUUUUCACCGGUUUGAUGCAGUUCUGAUACUGUGCUAAAGCUCCAGAUGACCUUGGGAUCAUUACUAUCCAAUUGUAAUAACCAAAAACACACCAGCCAACCCAUGGACAGAUUGGACUGUGCCCAUUCGAGAGAAGAAAAGAGGUGAUGACGCUUUGAUUCUGAGGAGCCUCCUGCCCUUUCCAGGAAAAACCCGGAGGUCAGCUUGCUUACCAGCGCCCUUAAUUACCCUAAUGUCAUAAAACCAUGACCAUGAGACCUAAUGGGGAGAAAUGUGCCUUUACAGCAUAAGCUGACCUUGUCCGUUCUUUGGCCACUCAAUAAAUUACCUAC